rnacentral:rRNA from 1 species
GUGUCAGCCGCCGCGGUAAUACAGAGGGUGCAAGCGUUGUUCGGAAUUACUGGGCGUAAAGCGCGCGCAGGCGGAUCCUGUAAGUCUGGAGUGAAAUUUCACCGCUCAACGGUGAAGCUGCUUUGGAUACUGCGGAUCUGGAGACCGGUAGAGGCUGGUAGAAUUGCAGGUGUAGCGGUGGAAUGCGUAGAGAUCUGCAAGAAUACCCGUGGCGAAGGCGGCCAGCUGGGCCGGUUCUGACGCUGAGGCGCGAAAGCGUGGGGAGCAAACAGGAUUAGAUACCCUCGUAGUCC